rnacentral:rRNA from 1 species
ACGGGAGGCAGCAGUGGGGAAUAUUGCACAGUGGGGGAAACCCUGAUGCAGCAACGCCGCGUGAGUGAAGAAGUAUUUCGGUAUGUAAAGCUCUAUCAGCAGGGAAGAUAAUGACGGUACCUGACUAAGAAGCUCCGGCUAAAUACGUGCCAGCAGCCGCGGUAAUACGUAUGGAGCAAGCGUUAUCCGGAUGUACUGGGUGUAAAGGGUGCGUAGGCGGCAUGGUAAGUCAGAUGUGAAAGACAGGGGCUCAACUCCGGAGCUGCAUUUGAAACUGCCAGGCUUGAGUACAGGAGAGGCAGGCGGAAUUCCUAGUGUAGCGGUGAAAUGCGUAGAUAUUAGGAGGAACACCGGAGGCGAAGGCGGCUUACUGGACUGUAACUGACGUUGAGGCUCGAAAGCGUGGGGAGCAAACAGGAUUAGAUACCCUGGUA